rnacentral:rRNA from 1 species
UACGUAGGUGACAAGCGUUGUCCGGAUUUACUGGGCGUAAAGAGCGCGCAGGCGGUCGGUCAAGUCGAGUGUGAAAGCCCCCGGCUCAACUGGGGAGGGUCAUUCGAUACUGAUCGACUCGAAGGCAGGAGAGGGUAGUGGAAUUCCCGGUGUAGUGGUGAAAUGCGUAGAUAUCGGGAGGAACACCAGUGGCGAAGGCGACUACCUGGCCUGUUCUUGACGCUGAGGCGCGAAAGCUAGGGGAGCAAACAGG